UUUGGUGGUUUAACGCGGUGGUCACACCCGGUCACAUUCCGAACCCGGAAGUUAAGCGCCGUAGUAGCGAUGGUACUGUAAAGGGAGAGUAGCUAACCGCCAGAA
rnacentral:rRNA from 1 species